rnacentral:lncRNA from 1 species
UCGAAGCUUAUUGUAACUCGGCUGAAGGUUUUGGGUAUGGAGUCAUUCAUCCGUCUGCGGAUUGUCUAUACUCACACGACGACAAGGGCUUCGACCACAGUCACACGUCAGGACCUGUUUUGGUGACUGAGGAAGCUGAGAUUGACCACGACGAGCUCUGAUGGUGGUGAUGUUCUAUGUGUUGUAGUGAGGGAUGGGAUGUGUAAUAUAGUUUUCUGAAGCAUAUGAUACAGUAAACGAAGUUUUUUUUUUUUUUAAAUCUUUACUUCGUAAAGUCAACCGUUAGAUUGUUCUUAAUAGUAAGCAUUUGUCCAUCUAUUGUAUCGUACAAAUCAUAGCACGGUUUUUCUCAACGUUGAUGUUUUUUUUACAAUGAUUUUAUAGUUCUAUUAUAAACUAUAAAAUUAUAAUAUUGAUAAUUUUAUAAUGGACAAUUCUAUGAAUAAUAUUUACGCUUAUAUAAUUUCACUUACAUCAUAGUAAAUUGAAUUAUGUUUACAUUAUUCUUGUAGUAUUUUUAAUCUUUAUAAAUGAUAAUUAAUCUCAUUUUGAGAUCCGAACUUUAAUGAAAUAUCUAAUAGUUAAUGUCAAUGAAAGUUACAAAGUAUUGAUACUGCAAAUAAACUAUAUAAGUAUCUAACUGCAUGUGUUCAAAAAAAAAAAAAAAGUAUCUAGCUGCAUAGAGGUAUAUGAUGAUUCAACUAAACAUUAUUAUAUUGCUGAUUGAUUAGAAUUUAAAAUGCUUGAACUUUUCCGGUGUGAAAGUUUCACUUUCUGUCGUGAAAUUGAAAUUUUAAAAGGAAAAUUUUGACUUUUUAGGAUAGAGAAGAACAUAGCACAUGGGAACACCAAAGGAUGCACUUAAGAUUGAAAUGUUUGAUAUGUUUGGCACCAAAGGAUGCAAUUAUUAUUUUCUAAUUAGUAUUCCCAAUUUGUGAGUAGCUGUAAACAUCAAUGACCAAUGCCAGCCCAUUUAUUUACUCCUUUUAAUACAACUCACCAACUAUACAUGAGCCUAAGAUCUAGUCUUAGCUUACAAUUUGCAGACUGUGACUUUAUGUAAUGUGAAAUUAGAAAAAGAAUUUGUAAUUAUACAUUGUAUAUGAUUAUUAAUUUUCUUUCAUAUGGUAUAAAAUAAUAAGUUACUUAUUUUGUUUAUAUGCAGAAGGAUGCGAAUAAAGAGAUAUUUUUCAAAAAAAAAACAAAGAAAAAAGCCAAGCUAAUAUGGGUAUGGACCGGAGAAUCUAAGACGUGCGAGAAUAAUGAGUUUCUUUACCAUUAUAAACAAACCACUAUAAACAAAAUAAUGUUCAUGUUCAUUCCAUUCCACCCUAUUCAAAUCAUUCUGAACAAAAAAAAAAUAGAGUUGUGAAGAAACUGAAAGUGGUUUCUCUCUUAGAAGACAUAUUGAAGAGGUCUCUUUGGUGGUGGAGAAGAAAGCUUCUGAGGUAAAGUCACAAAAACAACAUUUCUCAAAUCUCAUUUGUCAACAAUCUUAUUUGACUCAUAAUGUUGCAUUUGCUUUUAAGUUCUACUUCUGAAUCUUUUGUAAGUGAUGAUCUCUAAAGGUUUCUGACUUUUUAGAAUUACCCUUUUUGAUAUCUAAGCACAUGUUCUGUAUUCACGGACGGCCAAACUUUUGCUUUAGUUUUGUUCAGUUGAUAAUGCAGAUCCAAUGUGACUUGGUUUUAUUUCAAUCGUUUCAACAAAAAGGCCUGCCGUUGAACAUUAAUCUAUCAUCUACUUUGUAUAGAAUUGUAAUCCAUAUAGUCAUUCACAUAUAACAUCCAUCAUCUAUAAGUCAUGUUUUGAUUGCAAUAUUUCUCGGAAAACGAAGUCAAACAUUUUUAUUUAUCAGUUUUGAGAAAGAAACAACACGCCAUUAGAGAAUGAACAAUGUUUUGAAGAAGAUGAGGAAUGUUCAAUAUUAGAAUAGUAACAGCAAAUGUCAACAUCACUUUCUACAAAAUAAUAACGAAUACAACUGUAACAUUUACUUCGACUUUAUCUACCAGGGGAGAAUAAGCAAGUGGAUGUAAUUGACUAACAAUGCAUCACAACCGAAAUCAUAGCUUACAAUUAUAUUAGACCACCCCUUUUCUUUCUUUCUUUCUUUCUUUAAUUUGCUUAGAUUAUAAUAAAAUGAAAUUAAGAGAAUAUUGUUAUGCUAGCAGCCCCUAAGCUAUUAUAUAUAUAAUUGAAGGAAUAAAACAAGAUCUAGUUCUGACAUUAAUAUGGAUCAUCAAACUCAGGACACAAACCAAGAUCUCUGCUAGAGGAAAAAUACUUUCCUCUAUGUUCAGGUUUUGAGCUUCUUCAGAGCUGUGGAGAGAAAACAAUGUCACCAUUCAUGAAGUUCUUUAACUUUCUUUAUGAUUCUCUCCCACCUUCCUCUUGGUUUCUGGUAAAUCAUUUCUUCCUCUCUGUUUCACUUAAUCAUGAUUCUUAAUCAUUUCACAUUCUAUCUAAUUUUCUUUUUGGGUUUUGGGUCCUAAGGUCCAAAGACGCAACUUAGCAUCAUCUUCAGAGACAGAUGAGGUUGUUAGAAGUGGCAUUAUUGGAGAACUUAUAUACAUUUGGAAGGAGACGAGAAUCUUUGUCUUUAUACCAAUCUUGAAGUUCUUAGUGACAAUGUGUCUGGUGAUGUCAUUUUUGCUAUUCAUAGAAAGAGUUUAUAUGAGCGUAGUUGUAGUGAUUGUGAAGUUACUUAGAAGAACACCUGAAAAAGUACACAAAUGGGAGGCUAUAAACGAUGAUGACCUUGAGCUAGCACACACAAACUACCCAAUGGUUCUCAUUCAGAUCCCAAUGUACGAAACGGGUGUUCUGUAAAAGCUUUCGAGCUCUACGCGGAGAUGGUCUCUCAUGGUCUUAGAGAGAACGCUUCCACGUUUCCUUCUGUUCUUAGUGUAUGUAGUGGUGAUGAAUGGUUAUGCAGAGAAGGGAUUCAAGUUCACUGCAGGGUGAUCUCGCUUGGGUUUGAGUGUAAUAUGUUCAUUAGGUCUGCACUUGUGGGCCUCUAUACUUCUUUGCGGCUCGUUUAUGUUGCUCUCAAGCUGUUCGAUGAAAUGCCUGAGAGAAACUUAGCUGUUUGUAAUUUGAUGCUGAGAUGUUAUUGCCAGAGUGGAGAUUCGAAGGGGUUGUUUGGAGUGUAUCGUAGGAUGGGAGUUGAAGGUGUCGAUGAGAACGGGUUGAGUUAUUGUUAUAUGAUCCGUGGUUGUUGUAAUGAUCGGUUGUUAUGCGAAGGGAAGCAAUUGCAUUCUCUAGUGGUUAAAUCUGGUUGGAACGUUUGUAAUAUAUUUGUGGGUAAUGCGCUUGUGGACUUGUACUCUGCUUGUGGUGAUUUAUACGGUUCUAAGACAUCAUUUGAUGAUGUCCAGGAACAGGAUGUGAUAUCGUGGAACUCGAUUGUUUCUGUGUUUGCUGAUUACGGGUCUAUGCUUGAGUCUCUUGAUUUGUUUAGAAAGAUGCAGUUUUGGGGGAAGAGACCUUCAGUGAGGUCAUUCAUGUCGUUUUUGAAUUUCUGUAGCAGAAACAGUGAUACUCAGUCUGGGAAGCAGAUCCAUUGUUAUGUCCUCAAAAUGGGAUUUGAUGUUUCUAGUGUUCAUGUGCAGUCUGCUCUAAUUGACAUGUACGGCAAAUGCAAUGACAUUGAGAGUUCUGUGUCUGUUCACCAGAGUCUGCCUCGCCUGACUCUGGAGUGUUGUAACUCGCUGAUGACUUCUCUUAGGCACUGCGGCAUCACUAAAGAUAUCAUCGAGAUGUUUGGUUUGAUGAUUGAUGAAGGAACUGGAAUCAACGAAGUCACUCUUUCUACUGUCCUCAAGGCUUUAUCACUCUCUGAAGCAGUAACUUCACAGAGCUGCACGCUUGUACAUUGCUGUGCCAUCAAAUCCGGAUACGCAUCUGACGCUGCAGUCUUGUGCUCUCUAAUCGAUGCCUAUUCGAAGAGCGGCGAGAAUGAAGUGUCUCGGAAGGUGUUUGAUGAGAUUGAUUCACCUAACGUAUUCUGCUGGACCUCGAUCAUCAAUGGAUAUGCUAGAAAUGGCAUGGGAAGAGACUGUGUUGAGAUGCUGAAAGAAAUGGAUGGAAAGAAUCUCGUACCAGACGAAGUUACAAUCUUGUCUGUGCUAUCAGGUUGCAGUCACUCUGGGCUUGUUGAAGAAGGUGAAGUGAUUUUCAACUCAUUGGAGUCGAAGUACGGGAUAGUCCCAGGAAGGAAACUGUAUGCGUGCAUGGUGGAUUUGCUAGGCCGUGCUGGUUUGGUGGAAAAGGGCGAGAAGCUGCUUCUUAAGGCACGUGGAGAUGCAGACUGCAUAGCGUGGAGCUCAUUGCUGCAGAGCUGCAGGGUUCAUGGAAACGAAGCAAUAGGAAGAAGAGCAGCGGAGGUUUUGAUGGAUCUUGAACCUGACAACUUCGCUGUUUACAUUCAAGUUUCUAAGUUUUACUUUGAGAUUGGUGACUUUGAAAUCUCCAGGCGAAUCAGAGAGAUUGCUGCCUCACGAGAGCUCAUGAGAGAGAUUGGUUACAGUUCAGUCAUCUUGAGAAACUGGUAACGGAGGACAGUAAUUUGCUUCAGCUUCAUGAUAAAGAAGAGUGUACAUAUGUGAAAUGGGUUCUUUUACUUGAAGCCACCACACAUGAUUUGACAACACUCUACAAGCACAAGACGCAAGGAUAAGAUUCUUUAUUUGCCUGGUUGGUCCAAUAAACUCAUUUGACCUCUUCUAUAAAAUCAUUUUAUGUUCGUUAGAUCUUAAAAUAGCAUCUUGAGGUUUAAUAGUUGAGAAAUAUUCAGCGACUUAUUUCUCGUUUUGUUUAUUUCAGAUCUCAUGGGACCAACAUGCAUCAAGAACAAGUUGACCACAAAGGUUUUGUGUUGUAGAGGUUUUGGAGUAAAGCAAAGAAGUGGAAAAGAACAUGACUUGUGCUUUAAGCGUAGAUAUUGUAGAAAAACAAGGCUUCUUCUUCUUCAUGUACUUUUAAGCCAAGCCAAUAAACCCCACAAACCGCAUUAAUUAGUAUGCAUUAUAAAUUCAUUCUGAAACCAAAUCGUCUCUGCAUAUUAGUUAGCAGUGGAUAUAAUCAAAAACCUAUGAUGGAUAAGCUCUUGCUUCUUUCCCUUAUUGGUCUGUUAGUAGUAACUGCUUAUGGAGCUGCAUAUGUCGACAUCCUUGAGAAGCUUGAGAACUUUGACAUACCGGAAGAUGAUGCUGGUGAUGAUUAUGAUUUUGAUUCAAAGGUCUUUGAUUUGCCGUCAUUCAAUUCUGGUAAGAAUCUGGUGAAUGUUGAUACAUUUGGUGCAGCUGGAGAUGGAGUUUCUGAUGAUACUCAGGUGCGUUUUAGAUCAUUUUUGUUUAUUCCAUGAGAAAUGUCAGCGUCUCUGUAAUAAAAUGUUUCCCUAAACUUGGAAUGUAUACGUUACCUAUAGAUUUUGCGCACUAAUCUGUUGUUGUGCAAUGUUUUUUUCUCAAACCAGGCAUUCGCGAGCGCAUGGAACAAGGCCUGUGGGACGCCAAAAUCUGUGUUGCUUGUACCACGAGGAAAGACUUAUUUAGUAAACGCAACGAAGUUCAACGGUCCAUGUGAACAAAAGUUGGUCAUUCAGGUCAGCAGAAAAACAGAAGCUAGACCUUUUCUAUAGAUACAAAUACCUAUGGUAUGUCUUAUACAAAUCAGAAACUUUUUUAUAGAUUGACGGAACAAUAGUGGCACCAGACGAGCCCGGUAACUGGGACCCGAAGUUCCAAAGAACUUGGCUCGAGUUUUCGAAAUUGGAAGGGGUUGUGUUCCAAGGGAAUGGAGCUAUAGAUGGUUCUGGCAGCAAAUGGUGGGCUGCUUCUUGCAAGAAAAACAAGUCUAAUGUAUAAUCUUCUAUACCCAAAAUUAGCUUUUCUAUAACUAAAAAUGUAAACCUCUCGAGUUUAUAUGAGAAUCUUACACUUCUAUCUUGCUCUCUUGCAGCCUUGCAAAAGUGCACCAACGGUAAGAAGCCAUUGCCUUUACCUUCUUAUUAAUGGCUUCUUGUUUAGUUUGAUUCAACUGGCUUCUUGUUUUCCAUGCAGGCACUAACUAUAGACUCUAGUUCAGGUGUGAAAGUAAGUGGCUUGACGAUCCAGAACAGCCAGCAGAUGAAUUUCAUCAUUGCAAGGUCAGACGCAGUUCGAGUCUCCAAAGUUAUGGUCUCUUCUCCAGGAGAUAGUCCCAACACUGAUGGUAUCCACAUCACUGGAUCCACCAAUGUUGUCCUUCAAGACUGUAAAAUCGGCACAGGUCUUUCUUCUUAAACCAGAAUCUUUACGCAAAUGAAACAUGCUUAAGCCUAAUCUCGAAAGAUUGGAUUAAACAGGGGAUGAUUGUGUCUCGAUUGUGAAUGCAAGCUCUAAUAUAAAGAUGAAGGGAAUCUAUUGUGGACCUGGACAUGGAAUCAGGUACAUCAUCAAAUCACUUGAUAACAUUUUUUUCAGAUCAAAUUAUAUAAUUCUUUGGAGAUUCUCGCAGCAUUGGAAGUCUUGGGAAUAAUAACUCAACAGGCAUUGUAACAAAGGUUGUGUUGGACACUGCGUUAUUGAGAGAGACAACUAAUGGACUCAGAAUCAAAACAUAUCAGGUAAUACAGAAAAAAAAUAGCUUCAAUCUUUACUCAGAAACUUUUUAUUUCAUUGUGUACUCUUUUGGAACAACAGGGAGGUUCAGGUUACGUUCAAGAUGUUCGAUUCACAAACGUUGAGAUGCAAGAUGUCUCUAACCCUAUACUCAUUGAUCAGUUCUACUGCGAUAAUCCAACUUCCUGUCAAAACCAGGUUUCUUUACAAUCACAACACAACCUGGUGAUUAUACUCAAAGAUGCAAAACUUAACUCAGAUAAUGUUUUGUUUCUUUUUCUUGGUAUAAUGUAGACAUCAGCGGUUAAAAUCAGCCAAAUAAUGUACCGGAACAUAACUGGGACAACAAAAAGUGAGAAAGCCAUCAAAUUUGCGUGCAGCGACACAGUCCCAUGCAGCCACAUUGUCCUCAACAAUGUCAAUCUUGAAGGCAAAGAUGGUCAAGUCGAAGCUUAUUGUAACUCGGCUGAAGGUUUUGGGUAUGGAGUCAUUCAUCCGUCUGCGGAUUGUCUAUACUCACACGACGACAAGGGCUUCGACCACAGUCACACGUCAGGACCUGUUUUGGUGACUGAGGAAGCUGAGAUUGACCACGACGAGCUCUGAUGGUGGUGAUGUUCUAUGUGUUGUAGUGAGGGAUGGGAUGUGUAAUAUAGUUUUCUGAAGCAUAUGAUAC